rnacentral:rRNA from 1 species
AACGAACGCUGGCGGCAUGCCUAACACAUGCAAGUCGAACGAAGUCCUUCGGGGCUUAGUGGCGCACGGGUGCGUAACGCGUGGGAAUCUGCCCCUUGCUUCGGAAUAACAGUUAGAAAUGACUGCUAAUACCGGAUGUUGUCGCAAGACCAAAGAUUUAUCGGCAAGGGAUGAGCCCGCGUAGGAUUAGGUAGUUGGUGGGGUAAAGGCCUACCAAGCCGACGAUCCUUAGCUGGUCUGAGAGGAUGAUCAGCCACACUGGGACUGAGACACGGCCCAGACUCCUACGGGAGGCAGCAGUGGGGAAUAUUGGACAAUGGACGCAAGUCUGAUCCAGCAAUGCCGCGUGAGUGAUGAAGGCCUUAGGGUUGUAAAGCUCUUUUACCCGGGAUGAUAAUGACAGUACCGGGAGAAUAAGCUCCGGCUAACUCCGUGCCAGCAGCCGCCGUAAAAC